UUAUGUCAGCAUUUUAUGGUGCAUCAAGUUAUGAAAAUUUACUAAAAGGAAACUCACAUGUUUAGAUUUCUUAUUGCUAAAAUGUUAGGUAAACAUUUAAAUUAUUUGAUUUGACCUCGUGCUUUUAUACAUUUCUAUAGCAUCUGUGCUCUAUAUUCACUUUCCCCUUAACUAUAUCCUUACUUUACUAGUACAGUGGCAAUAUGACAAAUUAAUUUCUUCCUCAAAAAUGAUAAGAGAAAUUGUAUGUAACAUUUUAUUACUGCCCUCUGGUAUCCAUUGUUGCUAACCUUUGUGCUGUAAGCAGUCACAAUUUUACUGAAAGUCAAAAUUUAUACUUAAUUUAUAGCUUGGUACUGUCCUAAGGUUUAUAAAAAUGAAACAUCAUGGUAAUGGACAAUCAGAAGCACCAAGGUAUAUAUCAUAUUUUCAUCUUAUUGACAGACAUCUGCUAGUCAGUGCUCUUCAAGGUGUUUUGAUGACCUUGCAUUUAAAUACAUAGCACUAUUUACUUACAAAAAAAUAGGAUGUAUGUGUCAGAGAGCUUGAGACUCCUCAAUGGCAGAUCAAGGGCAAUAACUUUCA
rnacentral:lncRNA from 1 species